rnacentral:rRNA from 1 species
UACGUAGGGUGCGAGCGUUGUCCGGAAUUAUUGGGCGUAAAGGGCUCGUAGGCGGUUUGUCGCGUCGGGAGUGAAAUCCACUGGCUUAACUGGUGGCUUGCUUUCGAUACGGGCAGGCUAGAGUUCGGUAGGGGAGACUGGAAUUCCUGGUGUAGCGGUGAAAUGACGCAGAUAUCAGGAGGAACACCGGUGGCGAAGGCGGGUCUCUGGGCCGAUACUGACGCUGAGGAGCGAAAGCGUGGGGAGCGAACAGG